rnacentral:rRNA from 1 species
CGCGUAGGCGGGGAGGUAAGUCGGGUGUGAAAUCCCUCGGCCCAACCGAGGAAACUCGCGCCCGAGACUGCUUCUCUUGAGUCCCGGAGAGGAAGAUGGAAUUCCCGGUGUAGCGGUGAAAUGUGUAGAGAUCGGGAGGAACACCGGUGGCGAAGGCGGUCUUCUGGACGGUGACUGACGCUGAGGCGCGAAAGCGUGGGGAGCAAACG